UAGACCAGUGAUGAGAGAAAACGUUUAUGAACAAAGGCUCAUGAUUAAUCCAGUUCUGCGCAAAAUGCACAGGUCCAUU